rnacentral:lncRNA from 1 species
AGACAAGCAAAAGACUUUUCAUGGUCAGAUGAGUGCUAAUAAUUUUUUGAAGAUCUAAAAAGAUAUUUGGCAUCUCCACCAUUACUUAUAAAAUUGAAGGUGGGAGAAAUUUUGUAUCUCUAUUUGACGACUUUGAUGAAGGUAGUUAGUUUGGUACUUAUCCAAAAGGAUAAAAAUCAAAUUCAAUGGCCUAUUUACUAUACUAGCA